GUAGGGUGCGAGCGUUAAUCGGAAUUACUGGGCGUAAAGGGUGCGCAGGCGGUUCCGCAAGUCAGGCGUGAAAUCCCCGGGCUUAACCUGGGAAUUGCGCUUGAAACUACGGGACUGGAGUAUGGCAGAGGGAGGUGGAAUUCCACGUGUAGCGGUGAAAUGCGUAGAGAUGUGGAGGAACACCGAUGGCGAAGGCAGCCUCCUGGGCCAAUACUGACGCUCAUACACGAAAGCGUGGGGAGCAAACAGGAUUAGAUACCCUGGUAGUCCACGCCCUAAACGAUGAUGACUAGUUGUUGGAGGAGUUAAAUCCUUUAGUAACGCAGCUAACGCGAGAAGUCAUCCGCCUGGGGAGUACGGUCGCAAGAUUA
rnacentral:rRNA from 1 species